UUGGCUUGGACGCUUUCAGUCUUAAAAGGGAGCCAAGUUUUUUCUCCCUCAAAUACAGUUGCAGAGUUUGUUAGAGCCCAGAGGUUAUUGGGCAGAAUCUCUGGUAACAGCUGCAGGCUGCACAAAGCAGCCAUAGGACACUACCUUUCUUCCCUGGAGUAUUCAGCACUGGUGGACGGAGGAACCGACACCAAACACACCGUCACUGGAUGGAGGGGCAACAGAGGAGUCACCCUGAAUGAACCAACAAUUGGGGGCUACAACAAGCCCUUCACUCUUCAUUCCUGAUCUCCCCAGUACUGGGAGCUACUGGGUGUUAUUCUUGUUGAGCCAGAGCAGAGGAGAAGGUCAUUUGCAAUACUCUGCAAAACAUUUUUCCAGCCUUAGGCUCCUUCAGACUACAGCAUGUCUACGAGGGAUGCACAGAGCCAUUAUGGAGCACAUGCCACUAUUGCACCACAUGCUUUCCCUGCCAGAGCAGAAAAUUUCUAAAUUUGGCUUCCUCCCAGGAAGCAAAUUCCUCUCCAUACACACCCAGACUGAUUUCUCACAGAUGAGCACGCUGCCCACUAAAAUCUGAAGUGGGCUGCAUCCACAGGGUGCUGAGGACCCACCCUGGCAGGGCACUGCUGUGGCAGGAGCAGCCAGCUGCACUGAGUAGAGAGGAGCUCCUGGUUUAUCUGAAAGUGGCAAUACUGAGAAAGAAGCUCUAACGUGAAAAAGCAAGUUUAAAUUUUUGAUAGUUUCAGAUCAACUAGAAUCCGAAAAUGACAAUGUAACGUAGUUUUAAUAAUCAAAGCAUGGACCAAUCAAGCUGCACAAAGAGCUCCACCAGGAAAAAAAUCCACAACGUGACAUAAAGGAAGAACUGAAAAGAAAUGGUGGUUUCCAGGAUUAUGAGUAGCAUCUUCAGGGUAUCAUCUGGACAUUGCUCCUCAGACUUGACAGCAUGAGGCAACAUUGGCUGUGGCUAAGAAAUCGGAGAUUCAUGUUCUGUUUACCCCCCUCUUUCUGAAUGCAAACACAUGUUCUGUCUUUCCAAUAAUGAUGGACAACACAUGCACUGAGUAGGUACAUUGAAAGUCAUCUGUUAAUUGCAGAUACAUGUAAAUGACCACACAGCAAGCUUUCCCAGGGAGACAGGACUGGAAAAAAGGAAGACAGCUACACUAAGAUUAGAUACUGUGAAAAAAACUCCAAGAGCAUAAUCAAACAAAGUUGAUUCAUGUACUUUUUUCCUAAUUCAAUAUAACUAUUACAAUACUAUUUCAGAUAAUUCCAGAAUGUUAAAGAGUGAUGAGUGGUUUUUUUUUUUUUUCAGUCCAUUACAGAUAGCACUUG